GUAUCAUGGCUCAGGAUGAACGCUGGCGGCGUGCUAACACAUGCAAGUCGAACGAAGCACCUUACCUGAUUCUUCGGAUGAAAGUUUGGUGACUGAGUGGCGGACGGGUGAGUAACGCGUGGGUAACCUGCCCUGUACAGGGGGAUAACAGCUGGAAACGGCUGCUAAUACCGCAUAAGCGCACGAGGAGACAUCUCCUUGUGUGAAAAACUCCGGUGGUACAGGAUGGGCCCGCGU
rnacentral:rRNA from 1 species